UUGCUUGCUCUGACAGUGCAUGGACUGAAAUUGAAAUGAUACAGAGAAGAUUAGCAUGGCCCCUGCACAAAAAUGACAGGUAAAUUCAUGAAGAUUUUAUAUUUAC
ensembl:snRNA Gm24116 U6 spliceosomal RNA